ensembl:snoRNA SNORD116 Small nucleolar RNA SNORD116
GAAUCUUAAAAAAUAAGCAAUAGGUCUGAACAAAAUGAGUGAGAACGCACUACCGUCGUUCUCAUCGAAACUGAGGUCC